rnacentral:rRNA from 1 species
GACGAACGCUGGCGGCGUGCCUAAUACAUGCAAGUUGAGCGCUGAAGGUUGGUACUUGUACCAACUGGAUGAGCAGCGAACGGGUGAGUAACGCGUGGGGAAUCUGCCUUUGAGCGGGGGACAACAUUUGGAAACGAAUGCUAAUACCGCAUAAAAACUUUAAACACAAGUUUUAAGUUUGAAAGAUGCAAUUGCAUCACUCAAAGAUGAUCCCGCGUUGUAUUAGCUAGUUGGUGAGGUAAAGGCUCACCAAGGCGAUGAUACAUAGCCGGCCUGAGAGGGUGAUCGGCCACAUUGGGACUGAGACACGGCCCAAACUCCUACGGGAGGCAGCAGUAGGGAAUCUUCGGCAAUGGACGAAAGUCUGACCGAGCAACGCCGCGUGAGUGAAGAAGGGUUUCGGAUCGUAAAACUCUGUUGGUAGAGAAGAACGUUGGUGAGAGUGGAAAGCUCAUCAAGUGACGGUAACUACCCAGAAAGGGACGGCUAACUACGUG